UGGGGAAUAUUGGACAAUGGGGGCAACCCUGAUCCAGCAAUGCCGCGUGUGUGAAGAAGGUUUUCGGAUUGUAAAGCACUUUCGGCGGGGACGAUGAUGACGGUACCCGCAGAAGAAGCCCCGGCUAAUUCGUGCCAGCAGCCGCGGUAAUACGAAGGGGGCUAGCGUUGCUCGGAAUGACUGGGCGUAAAGGGCGUGUAGGCGGUUUGUACAGUCAGAUGUGAAAUCCCCGGGCUUAACCUGGGAGCUGCAUUUGAGACGUGCAGACUAGAGUGUGAGAGAGGGUUGUGGAAUUCCCAGUGUAGAGGUGAAAUUCGUAGAUAUUGGGAAGAACACCGGUGGCGAAGGCGGCAACCUGGCUCAUUACUGACGCUGAGGCGCGAAAGCGUG
rnacentral:rRNA from 1 species